AUAAUCCGUGAUCCUGCCGGAGGAUGUUGCUUGUGGAAUUAGAUUUAGCCAUGCUAGACGAGCGAGUUCAGACUCGCGGCGAAUAGCUCAGUAACACGUGGCCAAGCUCCCCUUCAGUCAGCGAUACCCUCGGGAAACUGAGGUUAACAGCUGAUACAAAACGCCAGCUGGAAUGCGGCGUUUCAGAAAGACAUCGCUGAAGGAUGCGGCUGCGGCCGAUUAGGUAGACGGUGGGGUAACGGCCCACCGUGCCAGUAAUCGGUACGGGUGAUGAGAGUCAGAGCCCGGAGACGGAAUCUGAGACAAGAUUCCGGGCCCUACGGGGCGCAGCAGGCGCGAAACCUUUACACUGCACGGAAGUGCGAUAGGGGAAUCCCAAGUGCGAGGGCAUAUUAGCCCUCGCUUUUCUCGACUGUAAGGUGGUCGACGAAUAAGAGCUGGGCAAGACCGGUGCCAGCCGCCGCGGUAAUACCGGCAGCUCAAGUGAUGUCCCAUAUUAUUGGGGCUAAAGCGUCCGUAGCU
rnacentral:rRNA from 1 species